UCCAAUUGAAAGACGCUAUGAAGUAAUUUGCCUUACUUAAAGGAUUUCAAUUUGGUGUAAAAAAGUCUGACAAGAAACAGUGAGAAAUUAAGUGCAAGACUGAAAAUUAUGAGUGGUAUAUACAUGCAACCAAGUCCACAGUCGGUGAAGUCUGGGGGAUCAACUUUAUGAAUCCUAUCCACACAUGUUCAGUUGAUCAAAUCAUGUCACAUCACAGACAGACUGGGGCUCGAGCUUUAGGUCAAUUAAUGAGAUCAAAGUUUGUGAUGAUUGAUCGAAUUUAUUGGCCUAAGGAAAUAAUUGUUGACAUCGUCGAUCGAUAUAAAAUUGAUAUUUUAUAAUCAUAGGCUUGGCGACAAGAAAUUGAGGGGUUCACCGAAGGAAUCAUUUAUGCUUUUUAUCAGAUUAUCGUUACACUCUACAACGUACUAAUCUGAGCACCGUUACUGCUAUUGAAACGGAUGAUGAUCAUCGAUUUAAGAAUUUUUUCAUGGCAUUAGGAUAUUCCAUUCAUGCAUUCAGAGAAUAUCUCCGUCCGAAUAUUUGCAUUGAUGCUGCAUUGUUUAAAGGUUGAUAUCUGGGGUAUUUAUUCAUUGCGGUAACUCUUGAUGGUAAUAAUCAGAUAUAUCUCAUCGGUUUCGGUGUUGAUAAAAAAAAAGAUUAUGACAUGUGGUGUUGGUUUCUCCGAAGGAUUAAAGAAUGUAUUCAUGACCUAUCUGAGUUGGCAAUAAUCUCAGAUCGACAUCAUACUAUAUACUCGACAAUGGUUGAAGUCUUUUCAGGUGUCCACCAUAGAUGUUGUCAUCAUCUUAUAUGUAACGUGGAAAAAGUAUAAAUGAUACUCAAAGGUUGUAGGGGCAUAUUGGAAAGCUGCAAAAUCAUACACAGAAUCAGAAUUUGGGACGAUGAUGCAAUCUCUUGACUCAAUGAACCCUCAAGCUGGAGCUUAUCUACGUGACAUCGGAUUUGAGCGUUGGAGUAGAGCGUACUUUUCGGGGUAUUGUUACAACUUCAUAACCACUAACAUUGUUGAGUCAUUUAAUGCCCUUGUCAGACUACACAAGGCCUACCUAUCACAAUGCUCCUAGAGUUCAUUCGUGGUACCAUGCAACGAUGGUUUUACGAGAGAAGAAACCAUGCAAACGAAUAUCCUAACUUUGUCACCCCUCGGGAGGAGGAGAAGAUCAGUGGUCGUCUAACUUUGUCACUCCUAGAGUUCAUUCGUGGUACCAUGCAACGAUGAUUUUACGAGAGAAGAAACCAUGCAAACGAAUAUCCUAACUUUGUCACCCCUCGGGAGGAGGAGAAGAUCAGUGGUCGUCUAUCAAAGUCUACACGUUUGGAGGUUCGGCCAAUUACACAAACUCGAUAUCAGGUUGUCGGUUUUGAUGGAUUCAUGGGUACUGUAAACUUCGGUAAAAUGUCCUGCAUAUAUAGAAAGUUUCAGUUUUUACGUAUUCUGUGCAAACAUGUCAUCGCUGUUGCAUGACAUAUGAGGGUCACGAAUGUCAAUGCAUGGGUUCAUCUAUUUUUUCAGACCGAUAUUUACCGUGCAAUAUAUCAAGAACCUGUUUUAAAUGUGUAACCGAUGUAUUUUUAUUACUGUUUUAAAUGUGUAAUUGUAUUGAUAUGUGAUAUAAUAACUUUAGUGCAAAUUAUUUCUUCA